UGCGUAGGCGGAUUAAUAAGUCAGUGGUGAAAACCUUCAGCUUAACUGGAGACUUGCCAUUGAUACUGUUAGUCUUGAGUACGGUCAAGGUAGGCGGAAUGUGUAAUGUAGCGGUGAAAUGCUUAGAUAUUACACAGAACACCGAUUGCGAAGGCAGCUUACUGGACCAUUACUGACGCUGAGGCACGAAAGCGUGGGGAGCGAACAGGAUUAGAUACCCUGGUAGUCC
rnacentral:rRNA from 1 species